ACGAACGCUGGCGGCGUGCUUAACCCCUGCAAGUCGAACGGAAAGGCCCUGCUUUUGUGGGGUGCUCGAGUGGCGAACGGGUGAGUAACACGUGAGUAACCUGCCCUUGACUUUGGGAUAACUUCAGGAAACUGGGGCUAAUACCGGAUAGGAGCUCCUGCUGCAUGGUGGGGGUUGGAAAGUUUCGGCGGUUGGGGAUGGACUCGCGGCUUAUCAGCUUGUUGGUGGGGUAGUGGCUUACCAAGGCUUUGACGGGUAGCCGGCCUGAGAGGGUGACCGGCCACAUUGGGACUGAGAUACGGCCCAGACUCCUACGGGAGGCAGCAGUGGGGAAUAUUGCACAAUGGGCGGAAGCCUGAUGCAGCAACGCCGCGUGCGGGAUGACGGCCUUCGGGUGGUAAACCGCUUUCGCCUGUGACGAAGCGUGAGUGACGGUAAUGGGUAAAGAAGCACCGGCGAACUACGU
rnacentral:rRNA from 1 species